CUGCCGGCCCGCUGCGCCCCGUGGGACGGCCACACCGCAUCCACCGCUCCCGGCUGUGAUGUCUGGACACCUUCCCUCCCUGCCAGAGCCGCCCGAGCCAGGGUCCUUAUGAGGUGGUGACCAGCCCGCAGGGAGUGGACCAGCGGCCGUGACGCCUCCUGCCACUGCGGCUCCCGCGGGCGUGGAAGAUGGUACCCGGCCAGCCCGAGCCCGAGCCCGAGAAGCCCACGGCUGCCGCUGCACGAUGGAGGAGCCCACGCCUGAGCCCGCGUACGUCGACGUGGACAAGGGCCUGACGCUGGCCUGCUUCGUCUUCCUCUGCCUCUUCCUGGUCGUGAUGAUCAUCCGCUGCGCCAAGGUCAUCAUGGACCCCUACAGCGCCAUCCCCACGUCCACCUGGGAGGAGCAGCACCUGGACGACUGAGGCUGCGAGGUGGCGGGCGGGGCCAAGGGCCUGGCACACCCACACCCGGUCUCCGGCUCGCAGCCCACCAUGCCCGGGAUGGUGCAGGCUCACCUCAGCCCCGCCGGCCGUCUCAGGCGUGGUGCCCUUGUGCUGGGGUGUGGGCCGGGGACGAGGCACCCCUGGGACCCUGGCAGGUGGGCCCUGUGCCCGCUCCCGUGUGCCUUUGGGAGCCGACUCCGGACCGGCGCCCCUCACGCAGCAGCGGUCUGGUUUCCAAGAACUCUGUCCUUAGAUGCAGCACCGCACACGGGUCUGCACACACCGCCUGUGGCCACACGGCACCCCCAGGGACAGGUCCAGGGCGCCCCCGGAAACCAAGAGGCACACAGGCUUCUUUGAAGCCGUAUUUUUUAAAACCAAGACAUAGAGCGCAUAUAUUUUCCUGUCAUAAGUGAAAUGUGCAUUUUAGAUGCCUGGGAAAAUGCAGAUAAAUAGGAGGAAAAUAGCUCUUACUAUCCCA